UACGAAGGGGACUAGCGUUGUUCGGAAUUACUGGGCGUAAAGCGCACGUAGGCGGAUUUGUUAGUCAGGGGUGAAAUCCCGGGGCUCAACCUCGGAACUGCCUUUGAUACUGCAAGUCUCGAGUCCGAUAGAGGUGAGUGGAAUUCCUAGUGUAGAGGUGAAAUUCGUAGAUAUUAGGAAGAACACCAGUGGCGAAGGCGGCCCACUGGAUCGGUACUGACGCUGAGGUGCGAAAGCGUGGGGAGCAAACAGG
rnacentral:rRNA from 1 species